UGGCAAGAGGUGGAUAAGGAAGGGUUAGGU
rnacentral:piRNA from 1 species